GGUAAUAAGUAGCUCAGUUGGUAGAGCAGUUGAAUGGCUCUCCACGGUCCCGGGUUCAAUUCCCGGCGGUCACUG